rnacentral:misc_RNA from 1 species
AAUAAUAAUAAUAAUAAUUUCUUUGUCACUGCAUCAGAUGCAGAAUUAAAAGUAAUUGAACACUAAAAAGAGAUUAAAGAAUACAAAUUCCACACUAAAACCCACCAGCAAAUCACAAUAGUGAACUGAAACACAUGUUUUAUUGGUCAACAUUUCUUCUCCUUCUCCAACUAGUCCACAAUCCACACGCUCGCCUGGGUUUUUAAUGGAUGGUCUUUUCAACCCCACAUUACAAGGAAACUAUCUAAAAGAGAAUAAUUUGCAAAUAUGAACAUAAAAUUUCAGAGGAAGAAAAAUUCAGGCGUAACAUUACUUAUGAAACUGAGACCAAGAUUGGAGAAUAAUAAUAACAAUAAUAAACACAGAAAUCAACAAAGAUGACCAAAUUUACUUGUGUAUUAUGACCCAACAGGCCCUUGAUUCUUCUCUCUUUAGCCUCUCACAGCUAACAAUGAAGGAAUGACACUUGAGUUUGGAGCAUUGCUCUUAUUGGAUUUAGAAGCUUCUCUGAUGAUGUCUCUCUUGCCAUCUUUUGAAGAAGGCUUCGCAAAAGCUCUCAUUGGACUAGCGAAAGCAAAACCCCAGUUUCUACUCCUUCCAUGAGCAAAAGGCCCAGCUGCAAUCCCAGGUGCUGGUUUCCCAUUGAUAUCUUCUGCUGAAGAUGAAAACCAAUAAGAUGAUGAUGUUGAAGAACAAGAAGAAGAUGAAGACGAGGAAUUGAUCAUGAACCCACCGAAGAUACCACCACAUUUGACUCUUUCUUUCAUGUUAGAGGUGGCUGCAGGGACCUUUGGCUUGCCUUCCCUUUGUGACUCCACUCUCCUAAUACUGCAAUCUCCAAACCCUGUUGAGAUUCUCUCAAAGAAGUCACCAGAGAAGCUCCUGCUUCCACAUCCUACGGAUCUGGAUCUUGAAACCUUUCUCUCAAAAGAUGAAGCAGAGGCAAUGGCUUGGCUAUUAGGACUAUCAUCAUCUUUUACUACCACAAUGUCACCAUUCUUGGACAAAGAAGACCCCAAGCACUUUUCCUCGAGGUUCACCAUAUACCCACUUCUUGUUGUUGUUGUUGUUUUUACUGUCAAUGAUGACACCUUAUCUGUUUUCUUGGUAGUAGAAGACUUGGAGGAAGAAAGAUAAAGAAAUGACCAGAACCCACCUCUUCUUGUAGAGCUAAAUUCCUCACAAUCAUCAGUGGAAGCGUCCAAGAAAUGGUUUCUUGCAGGAGUUGUAGUAGAUUUGCUUCUUUUGAAAACAAUAUCACGAUCUGAUGAUGAUGAGGCCAUGACUUUUUUCUUCUUUUUAGCCAAAAGAAAAGGGAUCCUGGCCCUCCUCGCGUAGUAAUCUUGAUAGUGACAACUAUUUCCACCAUCAUUUCGACCUUUUGAAGAUGUUGGACGCGCAGCAAGCGAAAGUGAAGAAGCACCACGGCCAACAUUACUGGCGCCAACACCACCACCACCAAUAUCAGAUCUAAAAGAAGAAUAAGAAGAAGAGGAAGCAGAAGAAGAAGGGCCACGAAUAGGUAGAGGAAAAGAGGAAGAAACCAACUUGCCAAGCUUUUCCUGAAGGCAAAAAGCACAGAUCCCACCUGGGUUGUUUCUAUAAGGAUGUUCACUGCAUUGCAUACCAUCACCUACGUAUUCUUCACCAGUACCAACUCUACCACCUCCACCGCCACCUCUUGUGAUUAUACCAUCCAUCAUUAUCUAUGUCAAUGGUUCUUGCAAAUUAAAAAAAUCUUUUUUUGUUACAAGCUAUAAAUCUUUUUUCUUGAUCGUGGUCCUUUUAGGCACUCUGAAGGGGCUUUUCACUAGAUUUUUGCUUUCUCGAGAGAGAUGGAGAAGCGAGAGAUGCAACAAAAGAAAGGCCAAAAAUGGUCAGAUUGUAACCGAG